rnacentral:rRNA from 1 species
GUAGUCCAUGCCGUAAACGUUGGGCACUAGGUGUGGGGGACAUUCCACGUUUUCCGCGCCGUAGCUAACGCAUUAAGUGCCCCGCCUGGGGAGUACGGCCGCAAGGCUAAAACUCAAAGGAAUUGACGGGGGCCCGCACAAGCGGCGGAGCAUGCGGAUUAAUUCGAUGCAACGCGAAGAACCUUACCAAGGCUUGACAUGAACCGGAAUGAUGCAGAGAUGUGUCAGCCACUUGUGGCCGGUUUACAGGUGGUGCAUGGUUGUCGUCAGCUCGUGUCGUGAGAUGUUGGGUUAAGUCCCGCAACGAGCGCAACCCUCGUUCCAUGUUGCCAGCGGGUUAUGCCGGGGAC